ACGUAGGGUGCGAGCGUUAAUCGGAAUUACUGGGCGUAAAGCGUGCGCAGGCGGUUCUGUAAGUCAGAUGUGAAAUCCCCGGGCUCAACCUGGGAACUGCGUUUGAAACUACAGGACUAGAGUAUGGCAGAGGGGGGUAGAAUUCCACGUGUAGCAGUGAAAUGCGUAGAUAUGUGGAGGAAUACCGAUGGCGAAGGCAGCCCCCUGGGAUAACACUGACGCUCAUGCACGAAAGCGUGGGGAGCAAACAGGA
rnacentral:rRNA from 1 species